GMGACCCUAGGUCAGACGGG
rnacentral:rRNA from 1 species